CACGUUCAAAAGACACCCAGGAGCAAAGAGCUCCGAGUGCAUGUGUGGGUGUACUUCAGAGCGUAUGCGUGUGAUUCACCAACUUGCGAUGAUUUAAUGAACACUGAUCAAAGGAGAGCCAGCCACUGUAUCGGUUUGGUAGCAGUGCCGUUCAAAGGAAACAAAGUAGGCUAGGUUAAGGACAUCCCAUAAUGAUAAGUGGCAGGUUCGGCUCUCGGGAUUUGCAAGGUACCACGCAAACUUGAAAUAUAAGGUGAAAUAACGGCAUGACUGGAUGUUACACCCACAGAUUACACUUACCGAAGCACUUCGUCCAUCAGGGUGCUUCUGGGAGCACAUGGGGCUGAUGAAUCCAGCUAGUGGUGGUUUCCCUUUGGCCAGUAAUCAAAGGCAGUGGAAUUACUGCAUUUUGGGAGCUUAAAUGCGCAAAUUAAUAAAAAGAACAACUGGAACUGAAAUGGCCUAUUUGGAAAUAAUGAGUUUGUUUGUUUUUUUCUCCCUGUCGGUGAUUUGGCAGCAGAAACCACAAACAAUCAUACAGGAGCAGUACCUUUUACUGCACAAGCAAUUAAGGGAAAUUGAAUGCUUCAAAUGAUAUUUUUUUAUAUAUUUUAAGAUCAUAUGGGGGCUAUUAGCAGAAUUUGUUCAACGGAAUAUUGAUUAAAUAUAUCUUUCCCAUUA